UGCAGUCGAGCGGUAACAGGGGAGCUUGCUCCUGCUGACGAGCGGCGGACGGGUGAGUAACGCGUAGGAAUCUACCUAGUAGAGGGGGACAACAUGUGGAAACGCAUGCUAAUACCGCAUACGCCCUAAGGGGGAAAGGAGGGGACUUUUCGGAGCCUUCCGCUAUUAGAUGAGCCUGCGUAAGAUUAGCUAGUUGGUAGGGUAAAGGCCUACCAAGGCGACGAUCUUUAACUGAUCUGAGAGGAUGGCCAGUCACACUGGGACUGAGACACGGCCCAGACUCCUACGGGAGGCAGCAGUGGGGAAUAUUGGACAAUGGGCGGAAGCCUGAUCCAGCCAUGCCGCGUGUGUGAAGAAGGCCUUAGGGUUGUAAAGCACUUUCAGGGGUGAGGAAGGGUAGCUAGUUAAUACCUAGUUAUCUUGACGUUAGCCCCAGAAGAAGCACCGGCUAACUCUGUGCCAGCAGCCGCGGUAAUACAGAGGGUGCAAGCGUUAAUCGGAAUUACUGGGCGUAAAGCGCGCGUAGGUGGUUUGUUAAGUCGGAUGUGAAAUCCCAGGGCUCAACCUUGGAAUGGCACCCGAUACUGGCAGGCUAGAGUAUGGUAGAGGGGUGUGGAAUUUCCUGUGUAGCGGUGAAAUGCGUA
rnacentral:rRNA from 1 species